rnacentral:lncRNA from 1 species
AACCUCACAUGAGAAAGUUAUGAUUUUUUUUUUAUUUUGCAAAUCAGCUUAUAGAUAGUUCAAGACACAAACUAACGGUGAUAGUCUGACAACGAUGAUGACCAUUUCAUUUACGUGCUCUUCCCUGUUAUAUGCUCCAACUGCUAUACAUUACCUUUCGUGUACAAUGGAUUUCUUUGUGCCUUUGACUUUGGCAUGUACACCUCGAUCGGAAAAGACUCUUCUUAUAGCUAUCAUUAGCAGCAAGCAUCGCUUCUUUGCUUGCCACAAGCGCAAAGAAUAAAAGUGAAAGGAUAUAUCUACAUGAGAACCUGGAUGCUUGCUUUUUGUGCUUUGCCUGG